rnacentral:rRNA from 1 species
GUAGGUGGCAAGCGUUGUCCGGAAUUAUUGGGGCGUAAAGCGCGCGCAGGCGGUUCUUUAAGUCUGAUGUGAGAGCCCACGGGCUCAACCGUGGAGGGUCAUUGGAAACUGGAGAACUUGAGUACAGAAGAGGAAAGCGGAAUUCCACGUGUAGCGGUGAAAUGCGUAGAGAUGUGGAGGAACACCAGUGGCGAAGGCGGCUUUCUGGUCUGUAACUGACGCUGAGGCGCGAAAGCGUGGGGAGCGAACAGGAUUAGAUACCCUGGUAGUCCACGCCGUAAACGAUGAGUGCUAAGUGUUAGGGGGUUUCCGCCCCUUAGUGCUGCAGCUAACGCAUUAAGCACUCCGCCUGGGGAGUACGGCCGCAAAGGCUG